UAUUUCAAAGCAAUGCUGGCCCAUAAUAAUGCUGAGACAGCAUCUGGUAAAGUGGAAAUGAAGGAAGUUGAUCCAUUAUCCUUGCAACAAUGCAUAGAUUAUAUUUACACUGGUGAAUUGUCUACUACUGAUGCAAAUGCUGAAUCUUUGAUGUAUGUGGCUGAAUUACUACAGUUGAAAGAUGUCUGUGGAGGCAUCGUUGAAUCACUUGAAGAAAAUCUCGAAGCAUCU